ensembl:miRNA Mir6091 microRNA mir-6091
CCAAUGCGAGAAUGCCUGAGAAGGUGACCUGGAUUCGAAGAAUGUGGAUCCUGCGUCGACUUCUCAGGAGAUACUGGGAA